CACGUAGGGGGCAAGCGUUGUCCGGAUUUAUUGGGCGUAAAGAGCUCGUAGGCGGUUCAGUAAGUCAGGUGUGAAACCUCCAGGCUCAACCUGGAGACGCCACCUGAUACUGCUGUGACUGGAGUCCGGUAGGGGAGCGUGGAAUUCCUGGUGUAGCGGUGAAAUGCGCAGAUAUCAGGAGGAACACCAGCGGCGAAAGGCGGCGCUCUGGGGCCGGUACUGACGUGAGGAGCGAAAGCGUGGGUAGCAAACAGG
rnacentral:rRNA from 1 species